rnacentral:rRNA from 1 species
UGAGGAAUAUUGGACAAUGGGCGCAAGCCUGAUCCAGCCAUGCCGCGUGCAGGAUGACGGUCCUAUGGAUUGUAAACUGCUUUUGUACAGGAAGAAACAGUUCUACGUGUAGAACCUUGACGGUACUGUAAGAAUAAGGAUCGGCUAACUCCGUGCCAGCAGCCGCGGUAAUACGGAGGAUCCAAGCGUUAUCCGGGAAUCAUUGGGUUUAAAGGGUCCGUAGGCGGUUAGAUAAGUCAGUGGUGAAAGCCCAUCGCUCAACGGUGGAACGGCCAUUGAUACUGUCUGACUUGAAUUAUUAGGAAGUAACUAGAAUAUGUAGUGUAGCGGUGAAAUGCUUAGAGAUUACAUGGAAUACCAAUUGCGAAGGCAGGUUACUACUAAUGGAUUGACGCUGAUGGACGAAAGCGUGGGUAGCGAACAGGAUUAGAUACCCGUGUAGUCCCUGAGCGGGCUGGCAAGGCGCAU